rnacentral:rRNA from 1 species
CACGGACCAAGAAGUCUAUCUUGCACGCGAGCCAAUGGGACCGGUGCCACCUUCGGGUGGUGCCGCUCAAUCGAACACCCAUAGGCGAAGACAACUCGAAGACGCAUGUCACGGGAUUACGGGUUCGGCAUUGGCGCAAGCCUACGUCGGAUCCCUCCAUCCCAGGGUGCCCCGAUACGGGUGGGAGCGGGCCUCCGGGCGUCGUUCUACCCAGCGGGCAUACCCCGAGUGUGCAGGAUGCGACCCGAAAGAUGGUGAACUAUGCCUGAUCAGGUUGAAGUCAGGGGAAACCCUGAUGGAGGACCGAAGCAAUUCUGACGUGCAAAUCGAUUGUCAGAGUUGGGCAUAGGGGCGAAAGACCAAUCGAACCAUCU